GGAUAGCUUAGUCAGUAGAGCACGAGACUAUCAAUCUCAGAGUCAUGGGUUCAAGCCCCAUGUUGGCCA